AUUCCAGUAUCAAUUCGAAAGAUUGAAGAAGAAGUACUUACUGUGUAUCACUUUUUCGUUCCCCAAGUACAGGCAAAGAUUAUAUACUGUGUAUCACUUUUUCGUUCCCCAAGUACAGGCAAAGAUUAUAUACUCGAGUACAGCAUCUCAAACGUUGUAAUUAUGGUGAUGCUGGAUUUCAGUAGAAUGAAAUGCAUUAAAAAUAGUAGAAUUAGUAACUUGACACUAAUUUUGCAACUAAGAUGUUAUUUCCAAUAAAAUGCAAAUAAUAAGGAAGAAACUCAAUGGCAACAAGUUGUUUGGAUAAAUCAGUAUAAUUUGAAAAUAUUACUCAUAACAUGAUCACAAUCUACUUAACUAGUCUCCUUUUAUUUAAUUGAUGCAGUAAAAAUGGUGAGUGUAGCAUAUUUCAUUAUAUUCAUCAAUAACACAUAUUUUAUGGAAAUAUGUGGGGUAUAGAAACUUAUAUGUUGAAUGAAAAUUUCAGAUACUAUAGGUGAUUUUUUCUUUAUCCAAAAUUUCCUGCCAUAGGAACUAAUGUCUUCUACGUACGAUGUUGUUAAUUUUAAAGUUGGAAUCCCACCAAUUUAGUUGAAUUUUACUGUUAAUUUGUAUAAAAUGUUUUCUAAAAGUCGAUUCUGUUCCUAUAUUCAAAUUCUUAUCAUGCUAUAUAUUUUUUUUGAGAAACAUCAAUUUCAAGUUUUCGACCAUUUCAGUUUCAUUUUUUGAAAAACGUUACUAAUAUGAAAGUUAUUGAAUUUUUGGAGCAAAAAUUAGCACUUGAAACAUCGAGAUUAGAUGUGUGGACUGUAUUCAAAAAAUUCUAGUAAUAGAAUGAAAUUGAUAGACGAGGAGAAAAAUUAAAAAAGGGGGGCUCUAGGCAUGUUAAUUAAAAAUGUCAUAUUUUCCAUAAUAUAUUUUAUAAAGGUAACACACUUUUUCAUCUUAAAACAACUACACUCGUCUAUCUAAUUAUCAUAAAUAGUGUACAAUAUUUAUGGAUAAAAAUUAAUUGAAUUCAGUUUCAUACAUUUAGAUAUAAGUGUGAAAUUCUGAUGAAGGUAUUUUCAAUAACCUCAGAGGAAAAGUAAUUUGUUAGAAUAUCAUUUGAUGAUUACAAAAAAAAAUUACAAAACCCUUUGUUUACUUUCAACAAUCAUAGUUUUACCAAAAAUAGAGAGAGCACUUAUUUCUAUAUGCAUGUUUGAGCUCAUACUUUUUGACUGGAAGUGAAAUUUUUUUUGCAUAUUUAUUAUCAUAAAAUCUCGAGACAGGAGCUUUUUGUAACAUUUAUUUUCAAGAAAUCAUGUGUUCAUUUUUCAUGUAACAUAACUGCGAUAUUGUUUUUUAAAUGUAAUUAAUCAUAUUCAAAAUCAUCUGUAGGCUUUAGUGCUUCUUCUCUAAGUAUUUUACUUCUUUCACACAAAACUGACAUUUGUUUAGAUUGACCCUAAAUUUACAGGUCUUUCUCUCUGAAACGCAUCUUUUCAGAUUUUUAAAUGUUCUUCUGCACUUGAAUUAUGAACUAAAUUGUCAUUUUGUGUAAUUGAACACCAUGCACAAUUCCAAAAAGUUCAGUAAAGAUAUGUUGAAAUACUUCUAUAGCUGAACACAAUCCAGAAUAUACUUAUUUAUCACAGUAUCUUUCAUAUUCUUUAACAUUAAGUAUUUAUAUAGAAUACAUUGUUAGCAUUAAGCUAGAAAAUAUUUUGGCUUUUUUCCUUCUUCGGAAUUGUUUAAUUUUGGCAAAUGGUAAGAUUCUAUAAUAAUGGUUUAUUUUUCUGCAUUUUCUUUAAUUUUUUUCUAGCUUUUUUGUUAUUUUUCUUGAUAGUUUAAUUUUUCGUUGUGUACGUUAUAUUAGUUACUAUUUUCACAUAUAUUUUCAUACUCGCAUCUCUAUUAAUAUUUUUCUACUGUUCAAUUUAGUGUAUAGUGAAUAUUGUUCUCCUUUUAACUAUUUCUGCAUCUAUGUUAUUUUAUUUCUUCAAUACAUUUUCAUUCAUGUUUAUUAUCAUGAAUUUGUCUUUCAUUUUUUUUAUUAUUUCUGAAGACCAGAUAUCCCUUAAUUUUUGUUUCUUAUUUUUAUAAUUCAUUAUUCAUGUAUAUCGAACAGUCAGCGUUUUUUUAUAAGUUCCUUGUUUCUAUAUCCAAUUGUAUCUAGGUGUUUACAUUGUUUUUAUAUGAUUUUGUCUAUCCAGCGCAAGAACAGAUAAAGAGGGGGUACUCCAUUAUGCUGGAACUAAAGUAAUUUAAAUAUAUAAUCACAAAUAGCUAAUUUUCGUAUAAAGUUUUGAUUUUUAAUAUUUGAUUGGAAGAUAAUUGUUGAAUUUUUGUCUCUUUUCUAGCUCUUUCCAAUCCUUUGAUGAAAAAAAUAAUGGGAAAAAAUAUAGGAGGACAUUUAUUAUUGUUGUAUUACUUAUUUGACAGAAGAAAUAUUUUUCUAGACUGUUGGACUUUUUCCAAUUAAUAGCUUGGGUGAAGAUUACAUGAACAGAUGUAUAAAUGGUAGACUACAACAGAUGAAAUAGCAACAGAAGAAAUUUGAAUAAUAGAUUUGACCGAAAAAAUCAAUAUAGUAGUUUUUGUAAUAUUUGAUACAUGAAAUUUCAUACUAAUCCCUUUGAAAUAAUCAUCUCUGCCCUAUGCAUUAACUUGAAAUUUAAAAGUUAAUAGAUGAUUUUCUACACUUGAUUACAUAUGUAGUUGAUAUGCACUCUCAUCUUUCUCAUAAAUCUAUCUCGGUAGAAGAUUGCAAAAUAUAGAAGUAGCACAAGAGGUAUCUAAGGAAUUCAUGUCUCCCCAUCAUCAUUAAUUGUAUUAGAAAAGUACAGAAGUACAAAGCGAAAUUAGUAGAGGCGUAAUCUGUCAACAACAGUAUUUUUGUCAUCUAAUUUUAAAAUGAUCCAAUAUGGAAGAAUCAUCGUUGUUUAAUGCAUUAACUUCAAAUUUAAAAGUUAAUUGGUGAUUCUCCGUAACUUCAAUUAAAUCUGUAGUUUUACAUUAGAACCAUCUAUUUUUCAUUUUACCAAUAAAAAACACUUGGAUCAAAAUGCUAUCCCAAAAGUUCAAUUUUUUUAAAAAUUUUAGUUAAUUAUAUAUUUAUCAUGAAAUAAAAUAUCAAAAGGACAUUAAAAAAAAUGUUUGUUUCAUUGUAAUAAAAAUACUCAAACAAAACUUUAAAGCUUCGAAAAUAAACAGUCUCUUAUAAACUAUAACGAUUAGUUGACAAAAGAAACUACAACCUAUUUAAAAAAAUAAACAACAAAUCGUUAAUUGCCAAAAGACACUACAGCGUAUUUUUUUAAACUAAGGUUUUGAAUUAAUUCAUUUAAAUAUUUAAGUUAAUAAACUUCAAUGCUGCCGAAGAUAAUUUCAAAUGAAAUCAAAUCCACCUGUCUUUUGGUUCUCCCAAGCUGAUUGAGCCAAAAUAAAUUUGUUGGGUAUUUUGGUGUGCCUUCUAUAAAAUUAAAUCUCAAUAUCUUGUGUUUUGUCGUUAGGACCUUCAAAUAUUACCGCAACAUAGUAAACGGGUUUUCAAUUUUUCCUGUUAUUUUAAAUUGCGCCAAUACAAAAUCUCGAGCUUCUGGAGAGCGCACUAAAUCUUCAACUUCAUUUGGAUUUACUUCAGUAAUCCUGCUCUCCGUUUGUGAGCCAAGAGAUAUUUGGUCUUCAUCUUCGUUCUCCGAAGAUUCAACUAGUUUGUGUGUAACAUUUCUAACAACUUUAAUUUUUUUACUUUGUUCUCCCUCUUCUAUAAUUUUUUUUUUUCGGGGGUGUAAGUCGUUAUAAUUUGAUCACUUGCACAAUCAAAGUUUGAAGUUACUUAAGUGCCAUUAUCAUGGUAAAAUAGAGCAUAAUUUUACAAACAUUUUGAUACCAAAUACUCAAAAAUUCAUUUUUUGCAGUUGUGCCGGUUUCUUUAUAAACCAUCGAAUUAUAUUCUUAAGUUCAGCUACAAAAUUAUGUGGACGAAUUUGAUUGGGCCCGAUUGUAACUUGGCUAAUUAUUUCAUCUCGACGUGAACACUCAAAAUCUUUGAUUGACGGUGUAAAAUACUGAUCCAAGACAAUAUCGACACGGUCGGAUUUAAAUCGUAGUAUCAUACUCAAAAAUUUUUUAGAUAAAGCAUCAAAGGUUACAGGUACUUCUUUCAUUAAGUGUAACAUGAAGAAACCAUCUAAAAUAACUGAAUUGAAAAACGAAGGUGGCUUAUCGACGUUAUCACCGAUUUUCUUCUCAAUCAAUUGCGUGGCACAUUGAUGUUGGCACUGGUGUCAAUGUUGCAUUCUCAGCUCGACAACUUUAUUCCCAAGAGUUAAUUUUUUUUUUUGGAGCCUCAGCGAAGUUAAAUAUUUUGUUUUUUUUAUCGGUUUGUCAAAUCUACAUUCAUCUACAGCACAUUCAGUAAUGAACUGUUUCCUUAACUCAUCACCAUUUUCUUCGACAUUCAAUAGGAACUCAGCUAUAUGUUAAGAGACCGGCUUUCCAGUAGCUAUAUUAUAAAGAUUAUCUUUGUUUAAAUAUGGAUCGAACGGAUUACAGUUUUUUUCUAAGAUAUCGAUGAAAUCAGCAAAUUGUUUUCAAAAAUUUUAAUCCGAUUAGGUUGUAAGUCUGCGGAAACGUCUUGCAAGUGUCUUAAUCCACAAACAUCGAGAACAUGGGAGAUCAAAGCAGCCCUGAUACUGUGACUUUUUGUCCAGCGUUGACGUGCAGCUAUCGAAUUUGUAAAGUGGGCAAUACCGCAUUUAUAGUCUGUUCCAAUGUAAGAUCUAUUGGUAUUCUUGAAAAAGAUUUAUCUGUUCUUUUAAUUCCGAAACAUCCAGAUUUGAAGUCCUCUUCGAGUCCUGGAUGUGUUUCGUUAACAUUCUUUAAAUUAUCAUAAUAUUUAACACACCAUCGAGUGUAGUUGGGUUGAUUAAACAUAAAAAAAUAAAUUUGUGAUUUUUGGAAUUAUAUGCUUAAACAUUUCAAAAUCACCCAUGCGUAUGCUGUUUGAUAGAAUGAUGUAAUAAUUAACUAGUUGGAUGUAGAUCAUGUAGAACUGAGCAGUUUUACCAUGAUCACCUUGUCUUGUUUUAUCUACGAAUUUUUGACACGAAUAGAGCAGUCGAGGCAAUACUUGAUUCGGUAAUAAUUCAGCAGUCGUAGUUGAAUGGGAAAUUUCAAAAUUUUGAUAUUGAAGAAGAUCAUCUAUUAUUUGCUCUUUUAAAAAACAGUGUUCGACUUGCUUUGUUUUUAAGUAUUGGUCAAAAUGUAAUAUUUGCAAACCUACAGCCAUCAACGGAUGCAGACGUUUGCAACGAUUAAAAUGUUUGCCAUCAAUGAUUCCAUUCACAGAACCUGAUGCACAAUCUUACUUUCAACCAUCAUAUGGAUAAUCCACACUCAUUGAUAAAUACUCCAAUCGCUUUAAAGAAUGCCAUCAUAAAAUGAAAUGAAAUGUAUGAAGAGAUUAUCAAAUUUUGGGGUUUCUGUUGCCUUAAUCUUGAGAGCAAUUUUAGUGAUGGCCAAAUCAUAUA